rnacentral:snoRNA from 1 species
CUGCAUGAGAGAAACUGUCAUUCCUCUUUCCUUUUAAGAAGUGAAUAUUCUUUCAAUGCUGUAAAAAUAAGGAGUUUUCAGGGCCACAUGCCUUGGAGCAGAGGCUGAGUGGUAGUGUAUUUUUCCUCCAUUA